UCUCUCUCUCUGCUUCUUUCACCUUCAGUCAAAGGGCUCCAUGCUAACUUGCUGUUGAGCUUAAUGGGGUAAGAGAAGAGCAAUGAUAUGUCCAAACAGCAGGAGGAGCUCUUGGGUAACAUUCUGUAAGCACUGCAUACAGAUCUUAAUCUGAAAUGCACACAAGCCUUUGAAUUGUAGCUGUGGAGCUAUUGAGCUGUUACUAUUAUAUCAGAUUUUUGUUCUUUUCUUGUGCAUUACUGUUGGAUCAGCCCAUUUCCUUUUUUUAUACGAUUCUAGCUCGCUCUCUUCUUCCCCUUCUGUUCACUACCUUGCAAACCAAACCAAAGAGGUCCUGCUGCUGGCCUUCCACCCAAUAUUUCUUCCGUUGCUGUUCAGAAAUGUGAAAAUGAUUGCAUAACGCCACAGUGAGUCACACUGCGUCCCUUUGCCACACAGCUGGCAGGCAUGUUUGCCUCUGCAGCUUAAUGUUGUUUGACUGCCUCUCCUGGUUCUGUUUGCAUGGCAUUGGGGAGCUCAUGCACUGCGGGUCUGCUGCUCAUGUGAUGUGAUGGCCAACCGGAGAUAAAACAGGAAGGAGGACUCAGGAUCCUGAAAGUACAAAAAGAGAUGAAGCGGGCUGCUUCACGCUCUCCUUCACGCCGGCUGACGGAGCCCCGGACGUUGAGGGGCGGCGGGUAGCGCCCCUCCCACCCGAAGCAUCUGUGAGUGACCGUCAGGGGUGGACCGAGAGCCCGGCGAGGGGGCACAGUUUCUGGCCGUGCUUCCCACAUGACCAGUACAGAGCCAGAGCUUGGUAUCCAUGGGAACAACCCCAAAGGCCUGAGUCCAAACUGCUGGCCCACAACCCCCCCCCCCCCCCC